UAUGUGCAGCUGCGUGGUUUUGCUUCCAGUUGUUAAAAGACAGAGAGUGCCGGAGCUGAGAACAAGAGAAGGGAUCUGCUGCUGCCCAGGCUGUGGCUUUGGAGGACUUCCAGAGGGCACCUGAAGGAGCUUUCAUGAAUCAUUCCAGAUGGAAGAGUCACUUGUGGAUUUAUGGUAACACCAUGACUUUGCGGCCAAGAAAUCCUCUGGGGUGGUUUUGCCAAUUCCUUCAUCUGAAAUAUUGCCCACAGGAUUUGGUGGCCUCCCAUUCAAGUACUAGUCAAGGAUUACCUGGCUUAGCUCUCAAGAUUAAAUAGUGCUUAUAUGCUUAUAAUUUUAAUGUUAUUUCCUCCAGUAUUUCUGCCUAUAGUUCAGUUUCCAUAAAUAUGUGGAAUGGGUUGCUUUCUGUGAGUUUUUCGGACUGUAUGGCCAUGUUCCAGUAACAUUCUCUCGCACGAAAAGAAUGCUGCUGGAACAUGGACAUAUAGCCCAAAAAACUCACAGCAACCCAGUGAUUUUGUAACCAAAUUUGAAAAAUGUUCUGUUCCUGAUUUGAAAGUGCUAUUUCCUGUUUAAUUGUAUGGUACUUACUUUGAAAGUAGUUGUUAUACUCCAGAAACUUGGGCUCGGGCUGUGGCGCAGGCUGGAGAGCAGCUGCAAUGAAUCACUGCAAUGAAUCACUCUGACCAGGAGGUCAUGGGUUCGAGGCCCGCUCGGAGCCUAUGUUUGUCUUGUCUUUGUUCUAUGUUAAAAGGCAUUGAAUGUUUGCCUAUAUGUGUAAUGUGAUCUGCCCUGAGUCCCCUUCGGGGUGAGAAGGGUGGAAUAUAAAUGCUGUAAAUAAAUAAAUAAAUAAUAAACUUCAUUUUUGUGGUUGCCAUGAACUAUGUUGACUUGGUUGAGGUUCUAUGAGAUAUUCACUGGAAAACGGUAGCAAAAUGUACUGCAGGAUGUCCCACAAAUACCAUUGUUUGUAGUUUAAUAAACUUUCCCCAUGUUUUUAUGAUUGAACCAGGUAGGAAAUGACAUUUAUAACCCCGGAACAAAAGUCAUGUUACAUAGUGUUGUUUAUGACCUCAUCAUACAGGUGAGGUCCCCACCGGAAACAUCUUGAAAUGUUUUCUCACCACUUUGGGGAUCAAUGGGGCAGGGCCAAGCAGGCAUCAUGUGAAGGUGCUCAGCAAGCCCCUGUCAAGAUGCUGCAACCAGGGUUUAGCAAGAGUAGUCAAGACAGUCCACAGCUGACACUUCGGCCUCUUCCACACAGCUGAAUAAAAUCCCACAUCAUCUGCUUUGAACUGGAAUAUAUGGCAGUCUGGACUCAAUAACCCAGGUCAAAGCAAAUAUUGUGGGAUUUUCUGCCUUAAUAUACUGGGUUAUAUGGCUGUAUGGAAGUGCCCAGAGAUAGCACUUUCAGAGUUCUAAUUCAAGUUCAAAUCAAGUAGCAGGCACAAGGAGUAUUCCAAAAGUCCGGUCCAAAGCCAAACACACAAGCAGCUCACCAAUAUCCAUGGUACAAAAUACAAAGUCCAAGGGGCAAAGUCACCAGCUGAAACACCCAAAACAACUAUUACUUCCAGCAAGGUACUGUUGCCAACAUUAAUCUUUUAUGCUGCCUCUGAAAAAGUCCUAUAGCUCCUCUUUUGGGAAAAUCUUUUGGAUUUCCUGUAUAGAUCAAAUUAGGAACAGAGUCUUUUUUAUCCAACAUAAAUGGGCCAGCAGAAUGUUGGAUAAGCAAAAUGUUGGAUUAUAAGGAGGGAUUAAGAAAAAACCUAUUAAACUUCAAAUUACAUUAUGAUUUUACAAAUUAAGCACCAAAACAUCAUGUUUUACUACAAAUGGUCAGAAAAUGCAGUUCAAUACAUGGUAACAUUAUGUAGUGAUUAAUGCAUUUAUGAAUUUAGCACCAAAACAUCGCAAUAUAUUGAAAACAUUGACUACAAAAACAUUGAUUACUAAAAGGCAGAUUGUGUUGGAUAAUACAGAACGUUGGAUGAGUGAAGGUUGGAUAAGUGAGACUCUACUGCACUAACAAAUAAAUCCACAAAGGAUCAGUUUUUUCAAAAUCUGGGAAUGAAAUUAUGUAUGCAAAUGCCAAUGAUGAAAGAUUUCCUGCACUUCAUUCCCUGGCUCCCCUGUCUUUACUUUAGUGACAACCUGCUUCCAAGCUGAAGGAAACAGACCAAUAGUUGUAUGGUGACAAUUUUCUAGUGAAAUUGCAAAAUAAUGCUGGAUUCAAUUUGUGCAAAUUGCCACACACUUUAGUAGCUGUUGAGCUGUUGAAAUAAUAUUUACAGUUUUAUUUAUUGUAAUUUAAGAACUGUGAGGAAUGUUUGCCAGUAUUACACCCCCCCCCAAAAAAACCCCAAAAAAUUCAAAGAUGCAAUUGAUACCUAGCUUUACAAUGUACAUAAGUCUCUAGAGAGAUUUUUCGAAUCUGUUUUAAAUUACGGACUUGGGAAAAAACAAAUGAAAAAAGAAUAAAGGGUAGUUGUUGAAAGUUAAAUUGUCUUCAACUCAUAUCUGUAAACCAGAUUCUCAUUUUUAUUUAACUGUUGCCUUUUCAUUCAGAAACUCAUUUCUUUACCAAAUCUGUUUUGCUUUCUCUCUCCCUCUCAAUCUUUCUUUAAAUAAAAGAGACAUUUUGUUUCUCCAUCCUCCCCUCCCAUUGUUGCAGCUGCUUCUCCUGAUGGUGUUCUCCUCCUGCUUGCCAGGGAAAUGUUUCCCAUCUAUUUGCAUUGCAUUUUAUUGAUAUUAUCCUUCUCUUCAUCCAUCCAUGAACAUUGAAAAUCUUAACAAAGAACCUAACAGGAAUUGCCAACACCAAUGUAGGCAUAUUAUCCCAUCAUUUAAAUUUCUAGAAAUACAAACUAAUUUAAUAUCUGUUUCUUCUUUCACUCUCUGCUAGGAGAAAAAGAAAUAUGAGAGUUGUGAGCAAAAUUCAUUAUUUAUAAGCAGCCAGGCUUUGAAGCUGCAAGGCUAUUCAGUGCUUAUCAAGGUGGCUAAUUAAAAACAUUCACACAUGCCUCAAACAAACAAAGAGUUCUUUCUAUCACUCUGGACAUUCCACAGAUAUAUAAACCCCACUUGCCUAGUUUCCAGCAGACCUCACAACCUCUGAGGAUGCCUGCCACAGAUGUGGGCGAAACGUCAGGAUAUAAUGCUUCUGAAAUAUAUGGCCAUACAACCAGAGCCGGUGCUACAUAAUUUUCAAGAGUAGGCAAACAGAAUUUUGCCCCCCCCCCCCGAAUUUUGGUGCUGCCCCUCCCCACACACACCAAUUGCUCCCAUAUAAAAUUAUCAAAGCAGAUAAUCCACAUUAUCUGCUUUGAACUGGAUUAUCUGAGUCCACACUGCCAUAUAAUCCAGUUCAAAGCAGAUGAUCUGGAUUUUAUAUGGCAGUGCAGAAGGGGCCAUUAUCAAGCCUAAAACAGCAGUGUAGUGGUUUGAGCAUUGAACGAUGGCUCUUGAGACCUGGGUUCAAAUUCUUUGCUGUGCUAUGGAAGCCCAUUAGGUGACCUUUGGUAAGUCACUCUCUCUCAGCCUUUGAGGAAAGCAGCAGCAUCCUCUCUUUGAACAAGUCUUGCCAAGCAACCCCUGUGAUUGUGAUGACCGUGGCGCCAGCUUUCAAAUUGAUUUGAACCCGCAGCGGAGAGUUCCGCAGAUCCAUCACCAAAGGAACGGAGCGGGACCGCAGCAGACUAUUAUUAAAAGAUUUUUUUUUCUUCACUUUCCCCUUCCCUGAACUAUGUAACAAAUCCCCCCAAUAAAAGUAGCAUUCAUUUUUAACAGUAACACUCUCUAUCUGGUUAUUUUGUGUCUUUCCCUGACUCCUUCUUUUGCACGCCACCCCCCCCCCCUCUCUCUCUCUCAAACCCGUCCGACCUUUAAAACCCUGGCGGAGGCUUCCCCGCCAUAGGUUAAUACGGCGGACGAUACAAAUUGGCUCAUAUCUUUAUCAAAAUUACCCCUAGCACGCUCCUCUUUUAGUCCUAACCCUUCCUAAGGCUCCUGACCCAAGGACCACCAGCGGAACCAAAAUCGGUCCAGUUCUCGGCACCUCAUCAGCUGACUGUCAAACGGAACCGACUGCUCUUUUCAAGCCAGACUGCUCUCUUCCAGCCUUAUCCCGGACUUUCCUCUCCCCGCGACCCGCGGGAUGGUUUUUAAGAGAUCACUGGUCCCUUUCUGUGAACUGUGGAUGGGGGAUCGCUCUCCCGCUGGGGAGACAUAGUUCUCCAAGGACCUUCACCCUCUCUACAGCUGCCAGGAGGGUGCCUGGACGGGCGCCCUCCACGUUUCAUUCACACCUUCAUAAUUUUAUGAAUGAGAAGCACACUCUUCCCCAGACCUACCCCUGAACUUAUGAAACCCUAUAUUUCCAAAGACUGCAACCCACAUGUACCUCUUCCCCAUGCUAUUUCUAUGAAUUCCUUCCACCACCGAUGAACUCUUUUCCCAAUGUAUCCGUGAAUUUUCAUAUUCUAUGUACCUGGACACCCUCAUGAAUCACUGUUGUAUGAAUUUCUAAUCGUUGGGCUAACUUCAUGAAUUGUAAAAUCAUGCUGCUAAAACUCCACUUUUAUGAAUUUCCAUAUUGGGUUCCCCAGAUGUUGUGAACUUCGUUCUUAUCAAAUGUUUUCAAUUGUUUAUAUCAUUCAUGAUUCCCCUUUAUGCAAUGUAACCCACCUUUAUGGAUUCUCCCUUAU